AGGGUUCGAUUCUGGCUCAGGAUGAACGCUGGCGGCGUGCUUAACACAUGCAAGUCGAACGAACCUUCGGGUUAGUGGCGGACGGGUGAGUAACGCGUGAGAAUCUGCCCUCAGGAGGGGGAUAACGGUUGGAAACGACCGCUAAUACCCCAUAUGCCUACUGGUGAAAUGAAUUUCGCCUGAGGAUGAGCUCGCGUCUGAUUAGCUAGUUGGUGAGGUAAUGGCUCACCAAGGCUUCGAUCAGUAGCUGGUCUGAGAGGAUGAUCAGCCACACUGGGACUGAGACACGGCCCAGACUCCUACGGGAGGCAGCAGUGGGGAAUUUUCCGCAAUGGGCGAAAGCCUGACGGAGCAACGCCGCGUGAGGGACGAAGGCCUCUGGGCUGUAAACCUCUUUUCUCAAGGAAGAAGAUAUGACGGUACUUGAGGAAUAAGCCACGGCUAAUUCCGUGCCAGCCGCCGCGGUAAUAC
rnacentral:rRNA from 1 species